AACGAACGCUGGCGGCAGGCUUAAUACAUGCAAGUCGAACGGGCGCGAGCAAUCGCGUCAGUGGCAGACGGGUGAGUAACACGUGGGAACCUUCCUCGUUGUACGGAACAACUCAGGGAAACUUGAGCUAAUACCGUAUAAGUCCGAGAGGAGAAAGAUUUAUCGCAAUGAGACGGGCCCGCGUCGGAUUAGGUAGUUGGUGAGGUAACGGCUCACCAAGCCAACGAUCCGUAGCUGAUCUGAGAGGAUGAUCAGCCACACUGGGACUGAGACACGGCCCACGACUCCUACGGGAGGCAGCAGUAGGGAAGUCUUUGGACAAUGGGCGGCAAGCCUGAUCCAGCCAUGCCGCGUGAGUGAAGAA
rnacentral:rRNA from 1 species